rnacentral:rRNA from 1 species
UACGGAGGAUGCAAGCGUUAUCCGGGAUUUAUUGGGUUUAAAGGGUGCGCAGGUUGUUUGAUAAGUCAGUGGUGAAAAGCUGCCGCUUAACGGUAGUCUUGCCAAUGAUACUGCGUUUCUUGAGUAUGGUUAAGGUAGGCGGAAUGUGCAGUGUAGCGGUGAAAUGCAUAGAUAUUGCACAGAACACCGAUUGCGAAGGCAGCUUACUAAUCCAUCAUUGACGCUGAGGCACGAAAGCGUGGGGAGUCAAACA